UCGUUCUCUCACCUGAUUGUGGGGACACCCCAGCUCCCCGAGACAUAGUCUGUAACUUCGCUUUCUGUAGUCUCCAAGCCGCUGUUUUUAACACAUCCUUUCUUCGUAAACUUGGAGGGGGUUCCUCGAGAUUUGUGGGCAAGUGAUUUAUUCCAGAAGUGUUCUCAAAGACCGUUGCAGGAGGAAGUGGGGGGUAGCAGGAGAGGGAAGGGGGUGAAGCCAACGCAGUGAGCGGACGCGAUGAGCAGCCUGCUGGCCCUCAGUGCCCUGGCCGGCAUUUUCACCUUCCCAGGACACUCAAUGUGGAAGAGACAACAGGUGGGUUGACAUUGCUCUCCCAGGAUACCUGAAGAGGUGUGUGCCUUGGCUGGUCGCUACAUCUAUGCUAGAUCUUGCCUGGCUGCUUGCAUUUCCAUUAAAAAAAAAUAACCCAACCGGGAAUUUAUUCCUCGGUGGCCUACAAGGCCGUGCUUGCAAGAGCCACCCCUGGGGACAUGAAUGAUGUUGGCCACAGAGGAGAGCCACUUUAUUGCUUAGACCAUCUGAUCCCCUAACCAGCCAUGUCUCGUUUAUUUUUGACAGGGCUUCACGGAGGGAGGAGGUACCGGCAUGUGGCACGUGGCGUCGCUCUCGGUGGUAGGUGAAGAAUACCUGGCCAUGCAUGUUUGCUUUAUUUAUGACAAAUCGCGCUUGGGGACGCCGGGAGAGCAGGAUUGCUUCCUCAACAAGACGCAGCUGCCCGGGAGGGACUCUGCUCUUGCAGGUGAUGGAUGCUGCCUGGUCCACUUACCCUCGGGUUCUGUUCAUCCUUAGGAAAACUGCCUGCCUCAUCCCUUGUGAGUUUUCAGGCACGAGACUUUUUUCUUUGCACUGAUUGUGACUUUAGAAAAACAGCACUGGUGUUGGUGGUUCUUUGUGCACUUGGAAUGGAGGGUGGACCUAGAGUGCGCGCUUCGUUUAUGAAGGAUGCCAGCUGGCCCGUUUGUCUUCUCUGUUGCAUCUGUGUUCAGGGGGGCUCCUGGAGUCGACAGAAGCCUUGAAGAGCCGGGACUGUCUGGGGUUCACGGUGCUUUCGUUUCUGCUUUUGGAGGUGUGCUUUACCAAGGAUUCACAGCAUCUAUUUUGCCUAUCACGUCGACUUAUAGAAUCCUGCCUAUUGGGCCUUCUGGACAUAAGUCUCACUUUCUGGAAGGUUCUUUGAUGUCCUCCUCCCUCCAAGGUAUGUGAAAGGAUGUUCCCCUAUCCAGUACACACUUUUAUGUGACCUUUGUCAUCGAGUGCCUUGGGGGAGGGCCUUGUGGAGAUCACACUGACUUUAGGAACUCUGUAGGGUUUUUCUCUUUCUGUGAUAUUUUUGAAACGUAGAGGAUAGUUGUCCCUACUGUGCUUACUUUAUUUUUGGUGAGUUUUUGACCUACACCCACUUUUUCAGAAUCAGACCUUGCUUUAGAAUAGAAAUACUCCUGGCCGUGGACUCCCCACUGGGGAAGACACAUUAGGAUCCCCCUCAGCAGGAGAGUGACAGCAGGGCAGACCCCAAGUCACGUGUCUUUUAAUCAGGUCCAUCGUCUGAACGUGGAGAGGCGAGGGUCUGACAUCAUGGUUCUUUCACGGAACCUAAAAAGCGCACGACCGCCCUGUGCGGCCCUCGUUUUUGAUGCGCUGUGUUCUGGUUCAUGCUUUCCAGGGCUGCUCAAUUUUUGAUUUUCCAAAGGUGGAUUUUCCUUCUAUGUUUACAGGGUUUAUGGUUAAGCAUAGAGGAAAAUCCACAUGUUCAGCAUCUAAAGUUGCUCUUCAAACUUUUUGAACACAAAAUCCCCCUCAGGGAAGAGAGAGAGGUUAACGCCCCCCUCAGGGGUGAAAGGAAGGGGGAUCCUCAAUGUGCGUUUUUGUUAGUGAUGGGACAAGUCCUCCUUCGGAGCUCAGUGUCCCUGCCAUCCCCACAGGAGGUCCACCCCAAGAGCACCUUCUGUCACCUUUAUUUUUGACGGAUUGUGCAUUCCAGGACUAAAUCCUUCUUUGGUAUUUAAAAGGUGGAUAUUCCUUCUAUGUUUAUGUUGUUUAUGGUUAAACAUAGAGGAAAUUCUACAUUUUCAGUAUCAAAUGCUUCUUGGAAAUUUUUCCGCACUGAAAGCACCGUCAGGGAGGCCAGGUGUGGCUAAGCCCCUUGGGGUAAGUGAAAAGGCGGUGGGUCCCAGCAUGUGUGUCUGUGGACCACCCACCGGUCUUGAGGAGAGGCUGGGGUCUGUCGUCACAGUGUCACAGCUCUUCAUGGCGCCAAACGGUCUUUUCCAUGCAUGUAGCAUCGCUUUCAUUUCUGACGGAUUGUGCAUAGGAUCGUGCUUUCCAGGAUGGAUCUCUUUUGGUAUUUAAAAGGUAGAUUUUCCUUCUAUGAUUACGUGGUUGAUGGUUGAUCGUAGAGGAAAAUCCACGUUUUCAGUAUCAAAUGCUGCUUUGGGACGUGCCCUGGACUGAAGCCAGGUGGCCAGGGGGGAGGCGACGCCCCUCCGGGGUAAGUGAGAAGGUGGCGGGCCUCGGAGCGUGUGCUGCGUUCGUGACAUGUGCCUGCCGACUCAUCAUCCGUAGGAGCCCCCGUCACCGAGGAGCCGGCAUCCAUCGUGAGCGAAGAGGCUGCGGCGUGUCCCCGCGGCCGAGUCGGAACCGAGCAGCUGGCUUUGCUGUCUGGCUUCCGGUUUUGGCAAACAGCGCACAGACUUGUCCUUUCCAGAACUCAAUCUUUCUUUGGUAUUUAAAAGGUGGAUAUUCCUUCUAUGUUUACGUGAUUCAUAGAUAAUCAUAGAGGAAAAUCCAUGUUUUCAGUAUCAAAUGCUGCUUUGGACAUGCUUCUGGAAGGGACUGUAAGGCCGACCCUCCGGCCGGAGAGGUGACGAGAUGGGCGAGCCACACGCCGUAUCGCGAUUGAGGACGUACGCCUGAGAAUCAUCCAUGUUCAUGAGACUUUUUUCUUGCCAAGAAUCCAACUUGGCGAAGAUUAUGUUGUGGGUCUGUCAUUCCAAUUACUUGGGGAACCUUGUCUGCCCUAUGUGACUUAAUUUUUGAUGACUCGAGCACAGGUGCGCGGUCUCCUGGAAAGAAUCCUUCUUUGGUAUUUAAAAGGUAGAUUCUCCUUCUAUGAGUACAUUAUUUAUGAUUAAUCAUAGAGGAAAAUCCACGUUUUCAGUAUCAAAUGCUGCUUGGAAGCCUCCGAGGAUAUGACGUCACCAUCAAAGAAGAGACGGGGUCGGUGCCCCCCGUGGGCCCGGCAGUGGCCCGCGCUGGGCUCUGAGCGUCGUAUCGGACAGGUCGCCCGGCUGGCUUUACCCUGCUGUGUAAUGUGUUGUUAAGGGGGCUGUGCUCUCACUACUGUGUCAAUGACCUGGAAUGAAUUUUGUUUUCUGUAUGUUUACCAAGUUUGUAACGCGUUUUCUGGAAUCAACCUUAGAGAAUACCUAGAUCGGCUGUCAAUUUUUAGGAACGGGCGCUGGCGGGCUACCGCUCUGGGAAAGCAUGAAUGAACGUGUUGAUCAUCCACUGACGCGGGCUCCGCACACAGCUCGUGUCGCCUGCCCAAUAACCCUGCGUAUCCGAUCUGUUUAUCUUAGGCGCACUCCCGGAACGGAUGCCAACUUGGUCACUUGAGAGUGGCUUUCCUACCAGUGAUAUCGUUUGCUACUUGAAAAGAGGUUAUCCUUCCUGUGAUUGCAUUACUUAUAAUGAAUAUGUAAGGGCAAACUCUCUCCUGGAGCAAAUCCUGCCGGCGAAGCUUCUUGGAAGGAAGCAAGGCCGACUUCAGGGGCCCAUCAGAGGGCCGGGACUACCCCCGGGUACGCACGUGCAUGGCUGGCCACAGGGCGUGUGCUCCGUCUUGCUGUGUGUGGCCAUGUCCUCCUCCCCUCCUCAUCCCAUGCAUCCUCCAGACAUCCUUUCUGGCAUGGUGGUCCCCAGCGAAGUCGCCGUCUCGUUUAAGUUUGGGCCAUUUGGCCCGCCCGCUCUCCACUCCCAGCCUGUCCUCGGGCUGACCUUAGGGCUUUAAAAUCCACUUGAGGGGAGGGGAUGGGGUUGGUGCCAGAGUAAGGGAACGGGUGGCCCCAGAGCCCCGUGUUUUUAUGGCGCUUCCUGCUGGGACCGUCAGGCCUUGGCGCCAUCUUGUUCAUGGGCAUUUUCCAAUGUUGCCAACUGUGAUAGACCCUGGGAUUACUGAUGUCAUUGUUUAAUUAGAGUUGGCCCACGGGAAUUUCAUUUUCCUUUGGUGAAGCUUGCACUAGGCGAGUGCCUUUGAGUAACAGCUCGGAUGGCUUUCCGGCCACAACGCCAAGUUCAAGAGAAGAGACGCUUGUCUCAGCACGGCUCUACAAUCUGUGAAUGGUGGUCAAUCGUGCAGUGUGUUGGUUUUCUUUCUUUUAUUUUCUUAAUGAUGCAUGCUUUUGUGUCUUCUGACCCCCAGCCCCCAAUGUUUCAUCAGGUGGGCUUCCUGGAAGCGGUGGCUUUGGGAAGAGGCAGUUGUUCUGUCCCCAGGGCGGUUUUACAGGCCCCGAAGGAAUGUCAGUCAUUUAUAUCCGUUCUAUGUCGAGUCACACAGGAUCGCCCCGUCUUUGGGGAGACAGUCCUGUUUUGGAGAGAUGCUGGGGAAGCACAGCCCACCUCAGAGCUGGGUCACAGCGUGUAGGGUGCAGGGUUGUCACCGGCCCCUUCCCGUUGGUCUCAGGCCCCACAGGAGCCCUGCUCUGGGAAGGUGCGGUGUGGUCCUCACCGGAGCUGCUCUUUGGUACUUGAAGAGAGGAUACCCUUUGUAUGUUCACUUUAUUAAUGGCGAAUAUACAGGGGGAGACUCUUAUUUGCGUAUCAAACUCUGACCGGGAAGGCACUCGGACCCAGCUCCAUCUCCAGGACAGAGACACUGUUGUCCGCCCCGCUCAGGUAUGUCCUGUCUUCCCGGGCCUGCUCGGGGGCUUCACCUGUGAUGAUGGCCCCAGGGCCUCCCCAGGGCCUCCCUGGAGGCCGUGCCAUGCUGGCAGGGGGCAGGGCUGGGCCUUCUGUGCAUCCGGUCUGUUCUACACUGAGUCUAACGGUGGUUUGUUUUUUUCAAGAUGAGCCAUGCGUGGACCCGCCCUUUGUCAGUGCCAAGUCAUAUCCGGGAGGUUUCCUACGUGAAGCUCAGAAGAGAGACCUUGAUGUCAGAUGCUUUCAAGGAUAGCGUAUGAGCGACGGUGGACCACAGAGCACCGGCUUUCUUUCUGAUGGUUUCAAGCGCGAUUGACUAACCCCCGUGAGUCCACCUGGAGGGCUCCCUGGAGGUGGCACCAGCCUUUGGGAAGAGGCUGAGCUUCGCUCAUCAGUGCUCCUCCUCCGUGUUCGGUACACGUUCUUUUGCUCGUGGUCCCUGAGAUGACCCCGUAAGAGCUAUUUCUGUGUGUGAUGUGUGAUUGAAGUCCUUCCUGGAAACAAUGUCCUCCACCGGAGCUGCCCGCUCUGGGGACAAGCCAGCGAGCAUCCUCCCGUGCCAGGUACCUGGACGUUGGAAGGUCAGAGGGGCGUGCUUCUGUUUCGGUGUUUGUCCUCUGGCCCUCUGACCUCCUGUCUUCUGCUCGCCUCUAGGACGCGGCCAGGUGUGUCCGUGGAGACAUCUCUUGGGCCACAUGACUUUCGCUUUCCACACCCUGAUUGUCACCCGGGGGCCGUCCGGCCCUGAGGCCCACAUCAGGGGAAGGGCGCUGCAGCAGCCCCCAUCGAGAAGAGUGACCGUCAUCUGAGAGAGCCAAUCCGGAGAAGCUCCCGGCACAGAGGCCACCUGGAGGCGGAGACCGUGUCCGGGGAUCCACGACCCUCCGUUUUAUCAGAAGAGAUGUUAUCCGCGAUGGCUUUGAUUCUCGGUGACACAUUCGUCUGCUGGUUUCUUCUUGUCAUCAAAUCCCAUCUCUCAGAAAUCCACGAAGGACGCUUUCCUUUUUUCUUUUGAUUUUUAGGCUCGAACCUGCUUUAGAGGUCUCCCUGAGCAUGCUUCUCAUUUGGGAGUUUGGACGUUGGUGUCAGGGCCAAGUCUAGGCCCCGAGACCAAGGUGCGGGAGUGGCACUAGGUGCCCACACAUGUGCUCUCUCUACAGGAUAUGAAACCCUGGCUCUGUGACCCUUGGGACUGAGCUUACGCUGAGACGAAUCUUCUGGAGGUCAAGACAACGGUGGGGAGGAGGCCGUGGUUUUUGUUUCAGAAUGUUCGGGGCUAUUUGAGGAGAGGUUAGCCAUGUUGUGCUCACUCCGUUCAUCAUGUAUAACACGUGGUUAACCUCUUUUUGAAUAUCAAACUCUGCCUCAGAGGGCCGCCCACACGAGAGACGUGAGACCGUGUGCCUUGUGUGAGGUGUGACCCCGGGGUGAAGGCCAGCUUCCGGGAAGGGAGGUCGGCAUGGGGCCGACCGGACUGCUUUGCAGUGUUUUUGUAGUGAACUUGGUGUGUUUUUACAGUCUGUAUAAAGUCACCCUCCUUCAGUGCCGACUUGCCUGGGAGUGAGGGUACGAGGCAGGGUCAGCUCCAGAGGUGUGGCUUCUGUGGCCUGUCACCACAGGGCCGGUCAGUGGGCGCCUGACCGGUGAGCCUGCUCCCGGGGCAUAGCUCACCUGGCACUGAUCCUCAGGCCAGUCCCUUGCAGGUGGCUUCCUAGAGGCUCUGCUGGCCCCAAUGGUUGCCGUCUCAUCGGGACACUCGAGGAGAGGGUACUUCCGCCACCGAGACUUCUCUCAGAGACUUCACUCUGUUUUUGAGGGUCAAGACGCGCCUAGGACGGCCCCCUGGGUGCGGAGCCGCCACUUCCCCAGGUGUGUGAAAGGCAGGCCCGCUCCGCCCUCCCGCCUGUUUCUCGUUGAGGUCACUGCCCUGUGUCCGCUUCCUCCUCAGGUGGACGCCCGUGAGCCCUGGCAGCAGAGCCAGUGGGGUUUCCUGUCCCACUGCAUGGCGCUUAAAGAGACUGGCUCCGAGCUGCGUCCUUUGCAUCCCGUCGCCCGUCUGUGAUGAAGGCGACAUGACGCCCCUUCACUCCUGUAGCUCCAUGGCACUCGGUCUGGAUCAGAACACCACCCUCAGACCUCCUGUCGUAGGGAAGGGAGGCUGGCCCAGGCCCCCAGUGGGCGGAGGGCGGGUGUCACCGUCCUCACCGAUCUCAUCCGUGUUGAGGGUGACAUCCGCUGUGUCCUGUCCUGACAGCUUGACCGGCGCGUGGCCGAAUCCACACUCGGAAUGGACACCGGUGGGGAUGCCAGCUUCACAGUAAGAAGUACCUUACGUGCCCCUAAGGAGAAGCCCCGGGGUGACUGGAGCCUUGGACACGGCGCUGGUGUUCCCAUCGGUGUGAGCACGCGGGGCUCGCUGGGGACCAUCCGGUGCCCUUUCGCUGCUCGUGACGGACACCACACAGCCGACCUCACUCUGGUGCCGUGGAGAUGGUGUG